UACAGAGGUCUCAAGCGUUGUUCGGAAUCACUGGGCGUAAAGGGUGCGUAGGCCGCCCGGUAAGUCAGAGGUGAAAUCCCGGAGCUCAACUCCGGAAUGGCCUCCGAUACUGCCGUGCUCGAGGACUGGAGAGGAGUCUGGAAUUCACAGUGGAGCAGUGAAAUGCGUAGAUAUUGUGAGGAACACUAGUGGCGAAGGCGAGACUCUGGACAGUUCCUGACGCUGAGGCACGAAGGCCAGGGGAGCAAACGGG
rnacentral:rRNA from 1 species